rnacentral:misc_RNA from 1 species
GAAAUGCGAUAAGUAGUGUGAAUUGCAGAAUUCAGUGAAUCAUCGAAUCUUUGAACGCACAUUGCGCCCUUUGGUAUUCCAAAGGGCAUGCCUGUUCGAGCGUCAUUUGUACCCUCAAGCUUUGCUUGGUGUUGGGCGUCUUUUUGUCCCCCCCCUUGCGGGGAGACUCGCCUUAAAGUCAUUGGCAGCCGGCCUACUGGUUUCGGAGCGCAGCACAAGUCGCGCUCUCUUCCAGCCCCAAGGUCUAGCAUCCAACAAGCCUUUUUUUCAACUUUUGACCUCGGAUCAGGUAGGGAUACCCGCUGAACUUAA